AGGAUGAACGCUGGCGGUGUGCCUAAUACAUGCAAGUCGAACGGUAGUCUUUCGGGACUAUAGUGGCGGACGGGUGAGUAACACGUUGGUACCUACCCCGAAGUGGGGAAUAACUGCCCGAAAGGGUGGCUAAUACCGCAUAAUACCGCAAGGUUAAAGCAGUAAUGCGCUUCGGGAGGGGCCUGCGUCCCAUUAGCUAGUUGGUAGGGUAACGGCCUACCAAGGCGACGAUGGGUAGCUGGAUCGAGAGGUUGACCAGCCACACUGGGACUGAGAUACGGCCCCAGACUCCUACGGGAGGCAGCAGUAAGGAAUCUUCCACAAUGGACGAAAGUCUGAUGGAGCAACACCGCGUGCAGGAUGACGGCCUUCGGUUGUAAACUGCUUUUAUAUGGAAGAUUAUGACGGUACCAUAUAGAAUAAGGACCGGCUAACUACGCGCCAGCAGCCGC
rnacentral:rRNA from 1 species